rnacentral:rRNA from 1 species
UACAGGGGGGGCAAGCGUUGUUCGGAAUUACUGGGCGUAAAGUGCUCGUAGGUGGCCAACUAAGUCAGACGUGAAAUCCCUCAGCUUAACUGGGGAACUGCGUCUGAUACUGGAUGGCUUGAGUUUGGGAGAGGGAUGCGGAAUUCCAGGUGUAGCGGUGAAAUGCGUAGAUAUCUGGAGGAACACCGGUGGCGAAGGCGGCAUCCUGGACCAACACUGACACUGAGGAGCGAAAGCCAGGGGAGCAAACGGG